CUCUAUUACAACCUUAGGACCAACCUUACAAUCAGCAGCGAGCCCUUUUCCAACUUGGCUUUCACCUUUCAACAUGGCUGAGGUAACAAAGACUAAGGUGUGGAUGAGCAACAAUGACCAGACUGAGGAACACGGGACUAAGAAGCACUUAAAUACAUGAGCAUCAAUGGAGAAAACCCAAGGCAGUUGGAAGUGAUUAUCAUGGGGGCAGGAACAAGAGGGAGGACUGACAAGCACUGGGCGUGGCUCGUUACAACCAUGAUGGGUGAGACGUGACAUUGGUGGAGUUCAUCUAUUCUGGGAGAGACAUUUCUAUAAAAGAUUUGAUGAUAGCCUUCAAGGAUAUGCUGAAAAUCUGAUCUUUCAUUUUCUAUAACAUUCUGAGGGUAGCCAUCUAGUCCUGAUAUUUCCCCUAUUUAGAGAAACGCAGUGGUCAUUUUUAUUUCUUCCACAGAAAUGCAUUUAUUCAAAAUACUCUUUUGUAUGUAAAGGUCUAUAUCUUCAAAUAAACGCACACCGCAUAUG